rnacentral:rRNA from 1 species
CACGUAGGGGGGCGAGCGUUGUCCGGAUUUAUUGGGCGUAAAGAGCUCGUAGGCGGCUCAGUAAGUCGGGUGUGAAAACUCCAGGCUCAACCUGGAGACGCCACCUGAUACUGCUGUGGCUAGAGUCCGGUAGGGGAGCAUGGAAUUCCUGGUGUAGCGGUGAAAUGCGCAGAUAUCAGGAGGAACACCAGUGGCGAAGGCGGUGCUCUGGGCCGGCAUUGACGCUAAAGCGCGAAAGCCAGGGGAGCAAACGGG